rnacentral:rRNA from 1 species
AUUGAACGCUGGCGGCAGGCUUAACACAUGCAAGUCGAGCGAGCGGCGGACGGGUGAGUAACGGCUGGGAAACUGCCUGAUGGAGGGGGAUAACUACUGGCAACGGUAGCUAAUACCGCAUACCAUCAGAUGUGCCCAGAUGGGAUCAGCUAGUAGGUGGGGUAAUGGCUCACCUAGGCGACGAUCCCUAACUGGGCUGAGAGGAUGACCAGGCACACUGGACCUGUGACACGGUCCAAACUCCUGCGGGAGGCAGCAGUUGGGAAUAUUGCACAAUGGGCGCGAGCCUGAUGCGGCCAUGCCGCGUGUGUGAAGAAGGCCUUCGGGUUGUAAAGCACUUUCAGCGAGGAGGCGUUGCUCGCAGAAGAGGCACCGGCUAACUCCGUGCCAGCAGCCGCGGUAAUAC